rnacentral:rRNA from 1 species
UGUGAACUCGAAGAGUAGGGCGGGACACGUGGUAUCCUGUCUGAAUAUGGGGGGACCAUCCUCCAAGGCUAAAUACUCCUGACUGACCGAUAGUGAACCAGUACCGUGAGGGAAAGGCGAAAAGAACCCCGGCGAGGGGAGUGAAAAAGAACCUGAAACCGUGUACGUACAAGCAGUGGGAGCACCUUCGGGUGUGACUGCGUACCUUUUGUAUAAUGGGUCAGCGAAUUAUAUUCUGUAGCAAGGUUAACCGUAUAGGGGAGCCGCAGGGAAACCGAGUCUUAACUGGGCGUUAAGUUGCAGGGUAUAGACCCGAAACCCGGUGAUCUAGCCAUGGGCAGGUUGAAGGUUGGGUAACACUAACUGGAGGACCGAACCGACUAAUGUUGAAAAAUUAGCGGAUGACUUGUGGCUGGGGGUGAAAGGCCAAUCAAACCGGGAGAUAGCUGGUUCUCCCCGAAAGCUAUUUAGGUAGCGCCUCGUGAACUCAUCUUCGGGGGUAGAGCACUGUUUCGGCUAGGGGGUCAUCCCGACUUACCAACCCGAUGCAAACUACGAAUACCGAAGAAUGUUAUCACGGGAGACACACGGCGGGUGCUAACGUCCGUCGUGAAGAGGGAAACAACCCAGACCGCCAGCUAAGGUCCCAAAGUCAUGGUUAAGUGGGAAACGAUGUGGGAAGGCACAGACAGCCAGGAUGUUGGCUUAGAAGCAGCCAUCAUUUAAAGAAAGCGUAAUAGCUCACUGGUCGAGUCGGCCUGCGCGGAAGAUGUAACGGGGCUAAACCAUGCACCGAAGCUGCGGCAGCGACACUAUGUGUUGUUGGGUAGGGGAGCGUUCUGUAAGCCUGCGAAGGUGUGCUGUGAGGCAUGCUGGAGGUAUCAGAAGUGCGAAUGCUGACAUAAGUAACGAUAAAGCGGGUGAAAAGCCCGCUCGCCGGAAGACCAAGGGUUCCUGUCCAACGUUAAUCGGGGCAGGGUGAGUCGACCCCUAAGGCGAGGCCGAAAGGCGUAGUCGAUGGGAAACAGGUUAAUAUUCCUGUACUUGGUGUUACUGCGAAGGGGGGACGGAGAAGGCUAUGUUAGCCGGGCGACGGUUGUCCCGGUUUAAGCAUGUAGGCUGGU